rnacentral:lncRNA from 1 species
UCGUUCAGAUAGAUUUAGCUGGUGGUGCAGAGAUCUGUGAGCUUGCUUUUACAGGACUUUAAUGAUAUAUAAAAGCAGCAUGAAGGGCUCCUGACUGUGGAUUAAUUUGGAGAUGACUUUCUCUGUUGAAGAGUGGCAAGACUCUUGCAAGUUCUUAAAAAUGCACUUGUUUGGUAUGAGAAUGAAAAGCAGUGGCUGAAGAACCAGUCUUCAAUGGGCAAGGCUUCUCUGAUGCCUUGUUUGAGGUAUAGUGCGAACCCAUUAGCACUGAACUCAGGACCAGCAACGCUGUAACUCAGGCCUGAAGGAAGCAUUUCUAGCACAUGAAUUUCCUCCGUAAGGCACCUCACAGCCUCUUGUGCCUGGGAACUCUAGCCAGCACUGCAACACGAUGCCUGGGGCCAUUAUAAAUGUGAAAUUACCAAAGAAACCCCACAAAAAUGUGAAAAUCAUGGCACUAAAUAGACCACAAAAAGAAUGCUUAUUUGCAGUAUGAGAACUGGAACCAGAAGACAUCAAUAUCUGGCUUUGAGUGGCACAAAGAAAUAAAGGAAUGUGGAUUCAGACCUCACUGGGAUGCUUGGCAAUUCUAAUUCUACGCCAGACUGCAAAUGGACACAAAACUGUUGCGACUUUUGUUGAAGAGGAGAAGGAUGGUGAAGGUCUCUUUAGUAAAUAAUCUCUGCUGAAAUUGCUUCGGGCAGCACAGAAGCUGGAUUCAGAAGCACACAGGUCUGGGGAUGCAGGCUUCGGCCACCCUGAUGCGAGGAAAGACUGCCAUCUCGUGGUCAGCUCGAUCCUGGCACCUUGGUGAGGGUCCAGGCUGCAGAAAACCGGGCUUGGGGAGGAAAUGGUGCUGCAAACUGGAUUUCUGCGGGACAAUGUGGAUGCCUUUAGAAAACACCCAGAAAAGAGCUGAGUGCCACCCAAGAUAGGCUUCAGUGAAUCCUCUGCAGGUGUGUUGUCAUCCCCUAAGCCAAACACACACUUCACACACACGCUGUAGGCUGCGUGAAAAUGAGGUAGAAAUGUGGGGAAAACAUAAUCCCGUGGAGAGAACAAACAGCUGAACAUGUAAAUGCCUCCGGCAUGCCUGGCAGAGAGAACACUCAGGCUGAGAAAAGGGGACAGUAACUUGUGCCAAAGAUAAGGGAGUAGCCUCUGGGGAAUCAAUCAGCAGGGCGUCUGGUCAACCCCUCAGACAAAGUCAGGUCUGAGCAGGCAAGAUCUAUGGAUCUGAUUUAUUAAUAUUUUCACAAUUAAAAAGAAUCUGAUUGUAAAACUGUUACAUGUGUUGUGAGAAAAAAAGAAAAAA